GGCCAGCGUGGCUAGUGGCUUGAGUGCUGAACUAUGACUCUGGAGACCAGGGUUCGAAUCCCCGUUUGACCA